rnacentral:rRNA from 1 species
CCCAAAGUGUGGGAUAACAGUCCGAAAGGAUUGCUAAUACCGCAUGUGGUUAUUGGAUUUAGAAACUGAUAACUAAAGGAGCAAUUCGCUUUGGGAGGGACCUGCGUCCCAUCAGCUAGUUGGUGAGGUAACGGCUCACCAAGGCUACGACGGGUAGGGGACCUGAGAGGGUGGCCCCCCACAAUGGAACUGAAACACGGUCCAUACACCUACGGGUGGCAGCAGUAGGGAAUAUUGCACAAUGGGCGAAAGCCUGAUGCAGCAACGCCGCGUGUGCGAUGAAGGCCUUCGGGUCGUAAAGCACUUUUCUGAGAGAUGAGAAAGGACAGUAUCUCAGGAAUAAGUCUCGGCUAACUACGUGCCAGCAGCCGCGGUAACACGUAGGAGGCGAGCGUUAUCCGGAUUCACUGGGCGUAAAGCGCGUGCAGGCGGUUUGGUAAGUUGAUCGUGAAAGCUCCCGGCUCAACUGGGAGAGGUCGGUCAAUACUACCGAACUAGAGAGUAGAAGAGGAAGAUGGAAUUCCCGGUGUAGUGGUGAAAUGCGUAGAUAUCGGGAGGAACACCAGUGGCGAAGGCGAUCUUCUGGUCUAUUUCUGACGCUCAGACGCGACAGCUAGGGUAGUAAACGGGAUUAGAGACCCCGGUAAUCCUAGCCGUAAACGAUGUGAACUUGGCGUCGGUGGCUUAAACACCAUCGGUGCCGAAGCAAACGCGAUAAGUUCACCGCCUGGGGACUACGGCCGCAAGGUUAAAACUCAAAGGAAUUGACGG